UCUAAAUGUCACCUUAACUAUCUCAACUACUCAUUGCUGAAUAUUUGUAAAACACUGAUACAAGGAUAUUCAUUACUGAAAACAUAAGGUGCGCAAGUAACUAUAUUUCAUACAGGUCUAGGCCAAGGAGUCUGUCUUGUUGCUGUUAAUGUGAACACAGGAAAUACCAUUUCCUGUCUUCAUCUGCUGCUUCUAAACCACAACUGCAUCUUACUGCUCUUUAUGCUUUAACCGUUAGUGUGCUGGAAUGAUUUGUAAGGUCUCCCCUAUACACUAAGAACAAUGCAGUAUGUUAUCUGCAGAUGUGAUUAUGCGUGACUAUUAAACAAUCCUAUCAAUAAGUAUAUAACCCAAACAGUAAGCAAUAUGCCUUUGGUUAUAAGUAAUGCAAGAAAGGGAAACAAAAAGAGGAAUAUGUGCUACUUCUCCUUUUUGAUAUCGGUGUGGUUGGUGGGCAAAUUUGAAAUGCUACUUUACAGGAAAUUCUGUGCAUAUUCAAUGUUUUGCAUUUGUAUUCAGUGAUAAUAUAUAUAAAUAAAUAAAUAUAUAAAUAAAUACAUAGUCAAUGUUUUGCAUUUGUUAAUAUUUAUUAUAUAUAUAGAUAUUAAAAGGUGCUCUUAGAUUUCUAGAUAACAAAAUCAUACAUGUAUUAUUCUAAACGCUACUCGUUUUUUUUUACCUUGAUGUAAAGCUGAGUUCUAGGGACUGAAUCAGGAAUACAACAUUGAUUCUUAUGAAAACAAUAAUCAGUGAUGCUAUAUCAUCUUUUCUAAUGCUUUGUGCAGCAGUAAUCUGGGCCUACCUUCAUGCAAACAGCAGAACAGAGCAGAAAAAAUAAAAACAAGACAAUUAAUAUAUGUAUUUAUGUCCUCUGUAUUAUUAUUACUCUUGGUAAUAGUUUUUUUUAUUUAUUUCCAGGCACUAUUAUUAAUAUUUUGGCUUUCAACCAACAGAUUACUAAAAAUCGAUUGCUGUAAGAAUAUAUGUGUUCUUCUAACAGAAGCUUUUAUAAUGUGCUGUUUUAUUUGCCUGUGUAACAGCAAAAAAAAAAAAAUAUUGCUUAUUAAACCACUGCAUAGGAGAAAACUCUGCCUCAUUAUCUAAUUUCUUUUAUUUAACCAUAGCAAUUAUUACAGGAAUCAUGACUAGCAGAUUAGAGGGGAGAGAAAGAGUUAAGCCCAAACUGGGUGACGUUGUCAGUGUCAUUUGCAUAGAGGAGCUGAUAUAAGAGCUGGUUCCAUUCACUCCCCUCAUAGUCAAGGCUGCAUCUGUGAGGAAUUGUGCUGUCUCUGAGCUCAGUCCCUGGUAAGUCCUGAAUGUAUACAUUCUAUUCCCCUGCUGCUAGAUAUGAAAUCUGCCAUAACAUGUCUUAUUGUGUGCAACAUUGUAAACCUGGGUGCUUCCGUUUGAUAUUUUUUUUUAAUUUGCCACAGGCAAUAUUUGUUGCUUUUGUCCUUGCUACUGGGAGGAUUACCUCAGAAUUUGCAUGUAAAAUAGCAUAUUUGGCGCUUAUCUCAUUUGCACGCUGAUUUUGUAACUUGUUUUCUUUAAAAAGAAUACAUAAAGAUUGACAUUUAAUCUUUCCAAGAUCCAGUUUUGUGAAAGCCAGAGAUUAGCCAUGCGUUGCCAGUUAUUAGGGCAUCUGGCUAUUUUCUCCUCUAGAUUGAAAAUGGCUAUUUGAUGUUUAGCUCCAAAGAUUUCUUCUCUAUAAAAAAAAAAUUCUUUGUGCUUGUAAAUCUGUUCUGCGUUAAAUUGCAUUGGAGAAGAGCGGGGGCUGAAACAGAACAGGGCGGUGGUUUAAGACUCCUUGGUUUUUUAGCUGCAGUUCUUUGUACAGAGAAAAAUGCAUGACUUCAUCUACAGGGAGGGAGCGAGGCAGCAGACCCCUGAGUAUGCUUGAUGAUUAGCAUAGAGUGACACUGCUCUGAUCUGGCAUAGGUCCAACUUAUUGAUUUGAUCACAUCACUAGACAAUAGAAGGGCAAAGUCUGAAUGAUAUGGGUAUAAUUAUAUGUAGUGCUUCAACUUAUUUGUAUUUUUUUCUUUCCAUCUACGCAGAUAAUAAUUUAUGUGUUUUGCAUUUUUUUCAUUUUUUUUUUUAACGAUGCAUAGAAAAAAGUACCAUUAUUAUAUUAUAUUUUAUAAAUAUAUAUUGCAUCUAGUUGUGUACAGACAAUAGAAUUUAGAGGAGAGGCGAAAAGGAAAUAUCUUCAGAAUGUAGAACUUGGAGAGGGCGUGGCUGCCUAGUAACAAAAAAAAGAGAAUUUUUUUGUUAAAUUUUUAUUUUUGCAAUACACUCUAAUUUCAUUUCCUUUUUCUUUUUUCAUCUUUUGUACAGAUAAUCCAACAAAAUGUCUGACAAACCAGAUAUGGCUGAGAUUGAGAAAUUCGAUAAGAACAAGCUGAAGAAGACAGAAACACAAGAGAAAAAUCCACUUCCUUCAAAAGAAAGUAAGUUCAUUUGAAACUUAUUUUAAUAUAUAUAUAUUUUUAAAGAUACCUUGGUUUUUCUUAACUGUAAAUUAAAAUAUACUAAUUUUCUUUUUCUUUUCUUUUUUUUUUUUUUUACCUCCUUCCACCCUUUUUCCUUCUUCUUUUUAGCAAUUGAGCAAGAGAAACAAGCAACUGAAUCAUAAUGAAUCUCCCAUCACCCAGAUAUGCACUGUACAUUCCACAAGCAUUGCCUUCUUAUUUUACUUCUUUUAGCUGUUUAACUUUGUAAAAAAAAAUAACAAAGAUACAAAGGUUGGAAAACAUUUACUGUGCUGCCCGUUACAUGAACAGAAAGGAAUAAAGAACUACUGACUGACUGAAGGCGCUGCCUCUCCAUCUGCCUGUCUGGCUGGCUUUGGUCCUGGUGGCAUUGAGCAUCGUGCAUUAUAUAAUAAAAGGAUAAUUGGUGAGGUACGGAGAUUCAGUACCAUGUGGCCUCGAGUGAAAGGAAAGCUGCAUCAAAGUCCAGCGAGCUGUAAAAUGCGGUCAAAUCAAGUGAAAUUUUAAUUUGUUCAAAAUGAUUUGAAUUAUUGGAAUGCACAAUUUUUUUUAAAUAUGCAAAUAAAAAGUAUAAAACAUUUACGUGGUCC